GACGUAGGGGGCGAGCGUUGUCCGGAUUUAUUGGGCGUAAAGAGCUCGUAGGCGGUUCCGUAAGUCGGGUGUGAAAAAUCUGGGCUCAACCCAGUGGAGCACCCGAUACUGCGGUGACUGGAGUCCGGUAGGGGAGUGUGGAAUUCCUGGUGUAGCGGUGAAAUGCGCAGAUAUCCGGAGGAACACCAGUGGCGAAGGCGACUUCCUGGCCUGUUCUUGACGCUGAGGCGCGAAAGCUGGGGGAGCAAACGGG
rnacentral:rRNA from 1 species